ACGAACGCUGGCGGCGUGCUUAACACCUGCACGUCGAACGGAAAGGCCCUGCUUUUGUGGGGUGCUCGAGUGGCGAACGGGUGAGUAACACGUGAGUAACCUGCCCUUGACUUUGGGAUAACUUCAGGAAACUGGGGCUAAUACCGGAUAGGAGCUCCUGCUGCCUGGUGGGGGUUGGAAAGUUUCGGCGGUUGGGGAUGGACUCGCGGCUUAUCAGCUUGUUGGUGGGGUAGUGGCUUACCAAGGCUUUGACGGGUAGCCGGCCUGAGAGGGUGACCGGCCACAUUGGGACUGAGAUACGGCCCAGACUCCUACGGGAGGCAGCAGUGGGGAAUAUUGCACAAUGGGCGGAAGCCUGAUGCAGCAACGCCGCGUGCGGGAUGACGGCCUUCGGGUUGUAAACCGCUUUCGCCUGUGACGAAGCGUGAGUGACGGUAAUGGGUAAAGAAGCACCGGCUAACUACGUG
rnacentral:rRNA from 1 species